GCCCUAGUAACGGCGAGUGAAGCGGCAACAGCUCAAAUUUGAAAUCUGGCGUCUUCGGCGUCCGAGUUGUAAUUUGCAGAGGGCGCUUUGGCAUUGGCAGCGGUCCAAGUUCCUUGGAACAGGACGUCACAGAGGGUGAGAAUCCCGUACGUGGUCGCUAGCCUUUACCGUGUAAAGCCCCUUCGACGAGUCGAGUUGUUUGGGAAUGCAGCUCUAAAUGGGAGGUAAAUUUCUUCUAAAGCUAAAUACUGGCCAGAGACCGAUAGCGCACAAGUAGAGUGAUCGAAAGAUGAAAAGCACUUUGGAAAGAGAGUUAAAAAGCACGUGAAAUUGUUGAAAGGGAAGCGCUUGCAGCCAGACUUGCCUGUAGUUGCUCAUCCGGGUUUUUACCCGGUGCACUCUUCUAUAGGCAGGCCAGCAUCAGUUUGGGCGGUUGGAUAAAGGUCUCUGUCAUGUACCUCUCUUCGGGGAGAACUUAUAGGGGAGACGACAUGCAACCAGCCUGGACUGAGGUCCGCGCAUCUGCUAGGAUGCUGGCGUAAUGGCUGUAAGCGGCCCGUCUUGAAACACGGACCAAGGAGUCUAACAUCUAUGCGAGUGUUUGGGUGUCAAGCCCGAGCGCGUAAUGAAAGUGAACGGAGGUGGGAACCUUUCGGGGUGCACCAUCGACCGAUCCUGAUGUCUUCGGAUGGAUUUGAGUAAGAGCAUAGCUGUUGGGACCCGAAAGAUGGUGAACUAUGCUUGAA
rnacentral:rRNA from 1 species